CAACUUUAUAAGAAAUCACAUUUCUCUAUUGUUAUAUUCAAGUAAUUUUUUUUUGGAACAUAAAAUGGUAGAUUAAGAUAAAAACACCUUUAUACUACCGAGCAGGGUAUCAAUGACAUGCUGGUGAGACUAAUAUAUGCCCACUUCUAGGUAGGAGCGCCAGGGGAUCUCCAUGAGGAAAGUUUCCCACCAACUGAAAUUUUACUGGAUAAGGGGAUUCAAACUCUAUGGAGAGGUGGGAGUCAAACCCGGAACUUAUGGCUAGUUGUGUCAACCCAAAUUUAAAAAAACUUUUUAAAGUGAAGAUCAAUUUUCUAUUUAUAACAAACAUAAAUUAUUUUCAGAGUAAAGAAAGAUCACACCAGUGAUUUAUCUUGGUUUAUCUUCAUUGACAAAGGCAAAGAAUCAAAAUGAAUGGGUUUUUAGAGAGACAUCCACAAACAAGGAUGCUUAGUAAUGCACUAAAAAUACACAUUGCACAAUCUAGAGUCACUGCACUCUAUCGCUAAAGUAAUAUAAGAUUGUAAGUCCUAGUUAUCAAACCCACGAGACCAGGUUACCAAACUAAUUCUAGGGGGUGAAUGCAUAAUCUAGGUGAAUCAAUAGUUGAAAAGGUUGUCAUGGUGUGAUCAUGCAAACAAUUAUCGGAGAGGAAAAAAGCAAGAAUGAGAAAACCUAGAAAUUGCAAAGACAUUGGAUCAUCUCCCUCGUUUUUAUAUAUUUAUCCUACUUAACUAAUGUGUCAACGUACCCUCUUAAUGCAAUUAACUCAUCGUUAAGUUAUUGCUAAUUGUCCUACUUGAAUGCCCUUUGUACAAGCAAUCAUUCAUUGUAAGGGGAUCAAUCAAACUAGGCAUGAAAGUUGGGAGCAAUCAUUCAUUGCUAAUUGUCCUAAGAGAUGUUUGACUUUCUAAUCAUAGAAAGUUGGAAGCAAUCAAGAACUAAUCCUAAUACUCCGCCAGUAGCGCACCAAAACUAAUUCUUUUUACCUUUUCCCCUAAUUGGUUCUAUAGAUUAAUCUCCCUUUCUAGGAGUUAAUUAACUACUAAAGGUCUGGUUAAUUACUCCAUAUAGAUCACAAUGACAGUCUGAAAUACACAAAAGAGAAACACACAUAACUGAGUCAAAACUAACAUUCAUAAUAACAGGGUGCAAAUUAUAUCCUUACAUUGCAACCUCGAGAGAGAUGAUUUAGCUACUCAUAAUAACUAAGAAGUACAUCGAUAAAAAUCCUAGUAGCUAAAAUCUUACGAAUACACACGAAGGAAGGAUCAUCUAUGCUUCUUCCUCGCUUUCCUCUGCAAUCACUUUUCACAUUCUGACAUUUUCUCACUUUGUACUGCUCUCACUAUCUGCCACCUUCUAUCUCUGAACUGCACUCCUAGCCUCUUUAAAUAGAAAAAUAUAGGUCAAGUCUCGAGGCCUCUGGUGCGCAAGGUCGCACAACCGUUGCUUAGGAAUCACGGUCGUGGCAGCUUCAACGACGUUUGACUUUAGAUAAGUUGGGGAAAGCACGACCGUGAAGCUUUAUUUAAUUGGAAUGGUCAUGGCCUCUAGCAACCACAGUUGUGUUUUUUCGUCAGCACGUGAAACUCCACAUGAGGUGUCAUUUUUGCCUGUAUUUUUCCUCUUUCACUUGUAUUUUGCAAAUAAACUUGAAAACAUUUAAGUUAUGUAUAAAAAAUGCAACAGUGAGGCAUAAAAUCAUUAAAAAAAACAAGGAAUAUCAUGCUUUUUUAAUUCACAUCUAGGAAUGUCAAAAUUACCCACACUCGUGGAUACCCGCGGGGAAAAAACCCUUUUGGGUAAAAAAAACUGCGCCCAACGGUACCACCAGAUAUAUAAAAUACUAAAAUAUCUUUAUAUAUAUGCGUAGAUGUAUAUUAAGUCUAAUAUCUAGUGAAUUUGUGUUUGAGUUAUAGUUCUCCUUCAAGUAAACUUAUACAAUAGUAAUGGUGAAAAAAAACCCUUAGACCCAAAAAAUGGCAGAAAAGAAGUCUUUUCCUUCACACAUUGAUUGACUGUAAAGUCUAAUCUUAAAUUUUACUUUUAGUAAAAUUUUCUUUUGAACAAAUACAUGUGAAUUCAUUUAUGUUCAUGGAUGUCGGGUGCCCAUGGAUAUCCACGGAUAUUUUAAAAUCCGGUUAAAACUCACUUAAUGAAUAUCUGUGUGGGUAUGAAACGGGUACAAAUAUAAAUUUUUAUAUGUGGAGCGGAUGGGGGGUAUAUACUAUUCAUGCCCACCCGAACCUAUUUACAGGGUACAAAUAUAAAUUUUUAUAUGUGGAGCGGAUGGUGGGUAUAUACUAUUCAUGCCCACCCGUACCUAUUUACAUCCAUAUUCACUUGGGUCUGGGUUAAAACUACAAAAACGUGCUUUCAAGCAUUCUCUGUAUUAGUGGUAAACGAUUACCCACUUCUAGUAAUAUGUUACCAAAUGUUUUUUUUUUUUGAGUUUUCUUUGAAAUCCGCCUAAUGUUGGUCGGUUACCUGCUUUAGGUAAUCGAUUACCAAAAGUUGCACGACAGAAACUUGCCAAAACCGUAAUUUAAAAGAUUUAGCCCAGUGGUAAAUUAUUACCUAUCAAAAGUUUUUGUCCACUUUGGACUCUAAAAAAUCAUAAAGUUAUUUUACUAAUGUUUCCUAGUCUUUUAACAUUUCACAAAUAUGAUUUAUCCAUUUUUAUUAAGUCCACUAACACAUCAAGCUUAUUGAGUUCUUUUCCUUGGGUUAGGAUCAAGCUUAUUGAGUUUUUAAAGUUUGCACAAGCAUACAUGAGACUAGUAAUAUGAAAAACUAGAAAAGAAUAUUCGACGUAGCUUUCACUUCUUUUUUAAUGGUAGGAUGCGUUGUCCUUUACCAAAACCAUCCGCCAUGGUCAAGGAGCAAGAUCUCUUCUCAUACAAUCCUUAUUUUCCAUCCAUUUAUGUUCUUCAUGAUCAAAACAAGAUAACCACACAGAACAUCAAUUGAAGGUAAACCACAACGUGGCAUAGACCAAUUCAUGGAUAGGGGACGUGCAAGGCUCCACCGAUCCCUACCUCUUUCCUUUAUCUUUGUUUCUAUUACUAUUCUCCAUGUUCACCACUUUAGGCUAGAUAAUCAAUAACGUGAAUGAUAUGUAGUUAGUCAGACUCUUGGCACCAAUAACUUUUAUGAUUGCAAUGAAACUGUGCACCUCUGGGUAUGCAUGGUAGACUACUAUCCAGGGGCGUAUCUAGGUAGGGGCAGGCAGGGGCCAUCGCCCCCAAGAAUUUUGAAAUGUUCACCAACUAUAGGUAUUUUUAUAUAGAAAAUGUUAUAACAUUUUGUGAUCCUCAUCAAGUUAAAGUUCUUGACAUGAAAACUCCUUAUUUUAUGAGUAAUGGUCGUAAUAAGAAACAAGAUAGAGAUAUGGAACAUCACUAUAGGAUAUAUGUAUUUUAUUCUGCAAUUGAAACCCAAAUUUAAAAAAACUUUUUAAAGUGAAGAUCAAUUUUCUAUUUAUAACAAACAUAAAUUAUUUUCAGAGUAAAGAAAGAUCACACCAGUGAUUUAUCUUGGUUUAUCUUCAUUGACAAAGGCAAAGAAUCAAAAUGAAUGGGUUUUUAGAGAGACAUCCACAAACAAGGAUGCUUAGUAAUGCACUAAAAAUACACAUUGCACAAUCUAGAGUCACUGCACUCUAUCGCUAAAGUAAUAUAAGAUUGUAAGUCCUAGUUAUCAAACCCACGAGACCAGGUUACCAAACUAAUUCUAGGGGGUGAAUGCAUAAUCUAGGUGAAUCAAUAGUUGAAAAGGUUGUCAUGGUGUGAUCAUGCAAACAAUUAUCGGAGAGGAAAAAAGCAAGAAUGAGAAAACCUAGAAAUUGCAAAGACAUUGGAUCAUCUCCCUCGUUUUUAUAUAUUUAUCCUACUUAACUAAUGUGUCAACGUACCCUCUUAAUGCAAUUAACUCAUCGUUAAGUUAUUGCUAAUUGUCCUACUUGAAUGCCCUUUGUACAAGCAAUCAUUCAUUGUAAGGGGAUCAAUCAAACUAGGCAUGAAAGUUGGGAGCAAUCAUUCAUUGCUAAUUGUCCUAAGAGAUGUUUGACUUUCUAAUCAUAGAAAGUUGGAAGCAAUCAAGAACUAAUCCUAAUACUCCGCCAGUAGCGCACCAAAACUAAUUCUUUUUACCUUUUCCCCUAAUUGGUUCUAUAGAUUAAUCUCCCUUUCUAGGAGUUAAUUAACUACUAAAGGUCUGGUUAAUUACUCCAUAUAGAUCACAAUGACAGUCUGAAAUACACAAAAGAGAAACACACAUAACUGAGUCAAAACUAACAUUCAUAAUAACAGGGUGCAAAUUAUAUCCUUACAUUGCAACCUCGAGAGAGAUGAUUUAGCUACUCAUAAUAACUAAGAAGUACAUCGAUAAAAAUCCUAGUAGCUAAAAUCUUACGAAUACACACGAAGGAAGGAUCAUCUAUGCUUCUUCCUCGCUUUCCUCUGCAAUCACUUUUCACAUUCUGACAUUUUCUCACUUUGUACUGCUCUCACUAUCUGCCACCUUCU
rnacentral:lncRNA from 1 species